AUUGAACGCUGGCGGCAUGCUUUACACAUGCAAGUCGAACGGUAACAGGGAGCUUGCUCCGCUGACGAGUGGCGAACGGGUGAGUAAUGCAUCGGAACGUACCGUGUAAUGGGGGAUAACGUAGCGAAAGUUACGCUAAUACCGCAUACGCCCUGAGGGGGAAAGUGGGGGACCGCAAGGCCUCACGUUAUACGAGCGGCCGAUGUCGGAUUAGCUAGUUGGAGGGGUAAAGGCCUACCAAGGCGACGAUCCGUAGCGGGUCUGAGAGGAUGAUCCGCCACACUGGGACUGAGACACGGCCCAGACUCCUACGGGAGGCAGCAGUGGGGAAUUUUGGACAAUGGGCGCAAGCCUGAUCCAGCCAUGCCGCGUGAGUGAAGAAGGCCUUCGG
rnacentral:rRNA from 1 species